GCUGUAGGCUGUUGAGUCUGCCACACGUUUGACAUUUAUUGUUUAUUCCCACACCCAUCCCAUGAAACAAGCAGGACUUUCCAUUUUACAGAUGUGAAAACCAAGCUUCAAAGAGACUCAGUAACCUGCUCCAGGACAAAUGACAGAACUGAGACUUCUGACUCCAAAUCUUACGCUCCCCCGCCACACCUCUUUGCCUUUCUCUUUCACACCAAUGGACUCUAUGGGUGACCUUGGCAUAGGUUCUUCUAAGAACUGGCUCUUAACAAAAACUUCUGGCCAUUAUCUGACUGAAUGUCACAAACAAGUGCUGUAAGAACUUGCUUAGAGCCUUUUUCCUAAACCUGUACACCAGCUCUUGCCUUGUGAAUUUAUUCACCACAAAACACAUGUUCCCAGGGGCCCAGGCAAAGUCUCCAAGUACCCAGUCCCCUUUCUUCAGCCUUGCCCACACCCUCAGCCUUCCUGUUAAUCCAGGCGACCCAGGGUUACCCAGAGGUCCAGGUCCCAGUUGUUCACUUGAGCAUCUGAUGUACCCCAAACACCUGUGUGAAACGCUCUCUGUCCAGGAUGCGUCCAUAGCGCAGGGUGACGUAGAAGGUCUGUUUCCCACUGUACCGCUGGAUACGCACGAACAUCUCCUGAGGCCGGUCCUUGGUUUCUGUCAGGGGAAUCACAUCUGCCAUGGGACAGUAUGUGUCCUGCCGCCAGCCCCAGAAGUUCAGAUGGGCCACCCGCAGCGUGGUGCCAGACUCAUUCAGAUACAGGAUACCAACCAGUCUCCGUAAGAAAUAGCUCAUCCAGCACAGCAUGGUCAGGGCAAAGCCCGAUAUCCCACUCAUGAGGCACACGGUGUUGAGAGUGAGGAGGCCCUGGGAGUACAAGUAAUAGCCUGGUGGCAGAGCUACCACUGUCAGGGCAGUCUGUGCCAACUUCAGUCGUGACAGGAACCCGAACGUUCUGAUGGCAUCAAAACGGUAAAACAUCCAGAAUUUCUCAGUCUCUGCGUUUGGUAGUUUCUCCUUCGAGAUGGGUGAACUGCUGCCCACCCACCUCUUAGGAUCCUCCUGCCCACUGCAGCACCACAGCCCAUGGAGAGGCCUUUCCCACACAGCUUUUCCCCGAAACCUACGCACAGCUCGGAGAAGGGCAGCCUGAAAGGGAGACAGUAGACCAUUUCUCUCGUGGAACUCAACUACAUUAAUCACACGGUGAACAUCUGCAAAGCACCAUACUCUAAGGCUUCUGCCAAUCCUGCAAGUAAUUUGUGAGCAAAUUACUCCACACC
rnacentral:lncRNA from 1 species